UUAUUAAUAAAGAAUGCAUAAGAAAUGUGAAUGAAGACUGUAUUUAUCUUUGAAGAUUAAAACUAGGCAAUGUGUUUAAUUGAGAAGCAAAGGCCUAAGAUACAAAACCCAGCAUAAGCAAAGUAACAAAUAGAACCUUACAGAAAUAUAUAAAAAAUCAUAAUAAUAGAUGAAGAAAUAGAAACAUUGUGGCCUUAGAGCAAC
rnacentral:lncRNA from 1 species